UCAACUCGUACGCCAUCUCGAGGUUUGCCACGAUGUCUGACAUGGCUGGUCGGUCCUUCCCGUCCAACUUCACACAACAUCGUGCAGUAUGUGCUACCUGCUCCAGCGCCUUGAGCUGCCCUGCCGUUGGCUCCGGCACCGGACGCCUGUCUAGCAACUCCUCAAAUUUACCUGCCUCGAUUAUUGGCACUGCGAAGGAUGCCAAUCCUGCUCUCAUCCUAUAAUCCCCUUGUGAUAAUGCCUCUUUUCCUGUUAGAACCUCCAGCAUCACCACUCCCAGGCUGUACACAUCGCACGCCGGCUUCAGAAGACAAUGCAUGGCGUACUCAGGGGCGACGUACCCAAGUGUGCCUGCAACGCUUAGAGUCAUUCCUUCCUCCUCACUCGCCAUGUCCCAGACGAUAGACGCGCCAAAGUCUGUCACACGUGGCACCCAACUAGCAUCGAACAUGAUGUUAGUUGACUUGAUGUCCCGGUGGAUGAUCGAUGGGUUGGCAUGACAGUGUAGGUGUUCAAUGGCGCGUGAUACGCAGAGUAGCACAUCGGCCCGCAUCUUCCAGGACAUUGUCACCGGCGACAGCGAAGAGGUGCCGGCCUGAUCACCGUGCAGGUGGUCGUAGAGCGUGCCAUUCUCCAUGUACUCGUAGACAAUAAACCUCUCCAGCACUUCCGGCUCCUUUCUCCACCUAGUUAGCAGGCCCUUUUUCUUCUUUUGCGGGGUGGUUAGCAGGUGCUUGUCCAUACUCACAGUAACACACGAUCCAAGGAGGCGGACAAUGUGUUUGUAUUGGAGCCGUGAUAGGAUGUUGAGCUCUGUGUGGUAAUCUUCUACAGCGCGCCGAUGGUUAUAGAUGAUGUGCUUGAUGGCCACCUCUCGCCCAUCCGAAAGCCUGCCCGUGUACACCGUAGCAAAGCCGCCGCAACCAAUCUUAUUAUCAAGGGCGAAGUUAUUGGUGGCAGCCAUGAUCUCCACCAACGUGAAUUCCUGGGUUUCAUGCAGCGGUACCUCUUGUGCCACCUCUGUAGACCCCUGAAAAAGAGACCACAAAUAAACAGUGACAAAUACCGUUCAUGACCAACAUACAUAUCAUCAAUUUCUGUAAUUUGUAUUGAGGUUGUACAUACCUGCCGAUGUGGAAGCGGAGACGGUUCAACACUGGUGGAGUCAUUUGGGACAAGGACAUUGUAGAUCCGUUCGAGGCGGCGCGUGAUGCCGAUGUGGCUGAUCACGGGAAACACGAUGAGGUAGGAGUCGAUCUUGCUCUGGACCUCCCUGAAUCUUUCGGCCGUCCUGCCGGCCAUGACAAACUGGUACGCCGCGCUCCUUCCCUGGCAGGACAAAACGAGCUCAUGGGCGUCCCGGAGUGUAUCCCCCAGCCCGGCCAGCGGCUCCGCCGCCUCUGGCUCCUGCACAUGCGGCAACAGCUGCGCGAUCAUGAGGACCCGACGCGCGAGCUGCUCGCACUCACUCUUAUUUUGCCGAGCCGUAAGCGCAGACUGCAAGAUCAUGGAGACGAGCCCGCCGACGUCUGCUCCGACCAGCUGCGCCACUGUCGCCGCUUGCCCUAGCCCAGUCCACAGCGCCAUGGCUUGAAAGGAUGGCUCCGGUUUGCUGCUCCUUGGUUGCCGUGAAACUUCUGCAGCGGAGAUAGAAGAGAUGAGUACAAAGACGCAAGGUCAUAGCACGCACGCCGGCACACAGCAAGCGCGCCUGCAGAUCACACAGCAAGUGCAAAGCAUGCACGCCGGCCGGCAGCACAAAUUCAAGCACACAGCACACACAGCAAGCACGCUCGCACACACGCAAACAUAUCUCAACUCUUCCCGCCUUCUUCCCCGCCAGGCCGCAGCGCCCUAAACUCCGGUCGCCGUCGCGCCGCUAGCCGCUGCCGCCACGACACAAAGGAUGCGAGAGCAGAUAUGGGGGAGGCCGGGGCGAGAGAGUGAGAUUGGAGGCUGACCUCUGGCGCCGUUUGACGCCGUCGUUCGCCAGCCGCCGCCACAACUCGCGCGCGACAGUGAGGAGAGGUAGCGUCCGUGCGCCGUGGUGUGUCAAGCCGUUGAACCGGCUUUGUGGUCGUGGUUUGCGGGGCGAUGGUUGCUUCCUGGAAACUCCCAGGGGCACUGCUGCUCCCACGCGGGUACCGGAGACCGACCACGGUCCCGCGCCCCACCGUCCAUCCACAAAGUUUCUUCCUGCCUUAGAGCAUCUACGGAGUACAACCGAAAGGGGCUAAUCUGGCCCUCUAUAGAUCCGCAAACAUUGUUCGGGUCUUCAUUUCAAGUCUUCAGUACCUUUUUUUGGAAACAUUCGAUCUGUUCAUCUUAAAUCAUGACGGUAUGACGAACACCAGAAUUAACAAAAAAUAUAUCCAGAUCGGUAGACUACCUAGCGACGAGUACAAACAUUGAAAUGAGCCGAAGGAGCGCUGCUGUCAUCGCCCCUCCCACCGGAGUCGGGCAAAAUUUGUUGUAGUAAAUAGUUAGGAAGUCGUCGUGUUAAUGCCCCAUUGAAUCAACACUCAAGAACAGAAACCGCCGCCGAUGAAUAGUAGAGUAGAUCGGAAGAAUCCAAGCUGAAAACAGAAGAACGUAGACAGACGAUGAACAAAUCCGAGUAAAUCCAUCAAGGACAGAUCCAUCGAAGACACACAUCCACACGCCCGCUGCCGGCGCUAAACGCACCACUGGCAAGGGCCUUAUUCCAUCUUCAGGGAGCCGCCGUCGUCUCGCCUUCCUAAGUUGGACACAAACCCUAAUAAAUCUCGAAGACACAUCUAAAAACGAAGUCCUCUCACCGGUAAGGGCCGGGAUCUGCCGCGCUCCCAUGACCCUAAGGUCAACAGAGACGAGGCGGACUGACGCCGGCAUCAGUGGUAGGUAGAGGAACCCUAGUUGGGGAGGAGACGGCUGCCUGAGGAGUCACGUAGGUAAGGCAAACCCAAAGCUCAAGCCUUCAGUACUUCUCCAUUCGUGUCCCCUUGCUCUUUGUUUCAAAGUGUCUGGUCACAUAAAUAUAAAAGAUGCGGAUGAAGAAAAAGAAAAUAAAAAAUUAAGAAAAAUAAAGUGGUUUGGGUAAGCCUCUAUGUGGCGGUUUGCCUGAACACACCUAAACACCCUUAUAUCUUCCUCACAUAUGAGUUCGAUAUGAGAGGUGCCCGAUAACACCUAGACAUAUAUGGAUAUUUGUGGUGUCCGGUUGAAUUGCAUUUUUUCUUACCUCUCCUGUCCAGGUAUUGUCCUUAUUGUCUGCCCGGAUGUAAAGAGAGAAAGUGUGAGUCCGGUUAUACAUGCCCCUAGAUCAACACGCUUUGCAUAUAUACUGUAGAAAGAUUAUCUAAUUCGUUAAAUAAUACUUACUAGAAGUAAAGGCAAAGGUUCUCAUUAGUAACUCGCAAAAAAAAGGUUCUCAUUAGUUGUUCAGUUUAUGGCCGGGUCGUUCAUAAGAAAAUCUUGGUAAGAUUUAAGCAGCUAUUGCAAUAUGUCAGUGUGUUUCGGCCUACUCGCCUCAAUUGAUUGUAACGCCAUUAACGUUCUCAAUCUAUCAGAAUUUCCAUUCUUGUAAUUAAGUCACUUUUUAAUUUAUACCCGUUAGUGUACCUGAGUUCCAUUCAUUGCCCGCAAAAGAAAACUGAGGUCCAUUCAUGUUAAUCAGUCGUUGGCAGAUGGAUCCGCAUCUGGCUAGCUCUUUUCGCCUACCCAGGCCGGCCAUGUGGUCUCGGCUCUCGAACCACUCGGUGAAGCGACAAACUCACAUGCUCCCCACAAACUCAAUGCUCUAAAACGCGUGUGCAAAAAUUAAUUGCCACUAAGAUGAGGUUAUGGUCGAUCGAGGCAUCCAUAAGGUCCAUCAUCACAACGGGCAGAGAGCCUGUUCAUCUCAACAGUAUUUUAAAGCCGUGAUUAGGGGAUCUUUCGAGGGGUAAUUAAGCUCCAUCGCAUGCUUCCUCUGGAGGCCUAACGUGCAUUUGGUUUGAAUUACUAGUUGUAAAGAUUGGAGAACCGUUGAACCCUUUGGUCUCGGGCCGCUUUAUAUAUUGAUAAGUUGUCGUGGGUUACAAGUUUUGGGAGGUCCCUAGAAAUCCUCCAGAGUUCAUACACGAGAAGGAAAGGAGAUUACAAAGAGAGAAGGAGUUGGACAGAAGAAGAGAUAGAUGAGUUUGAAAGAUAAACGAAUAACACUAUCUAACUAUCUAACACUGGUCACUUAAACUCUAGUUUUGUUGGGUCCAAAAGACACAUGCAUUACUAAUCUGCAGACACAAGUUUUGAUGGAGGAUUCAAGUUUAUCAUGAGUUCGAAACAGGAGUUCAUGAUCCCCUGCCGUGGAACUUGUUAUACGCGAUAGCAAGAAACAACGAUGAACAAAGAAAUCAACCAACGGGGACACGAGAUUUUAACGUGAAAAACCCUUGCGGGAAAAACCACGGGCGCCAGCCAGCAAGACUUCACUAUAUCGCGGGUGAGGUUACAAACGCCGGGGGAUUUACUCAAUGCAACUUAUCCCUCACGGCGGCUUACAAGAGGUAUUUAUAAUAGGUGAACCCUAGUCCAACUCGGUAACAACUCGUACCGUACCGGCGACGGGAGGCCCAAGCCUCCCGGCGACGGGCCUCGCUUCGCUCGGGCCGAAGUUGCCUUUAUCUUUAUUUCUUCUAGGAAUUUGGAUCACCACAAAAAUAACAGAACUUGAUCAGGAGAACCUUGCUUGGUUCUGAAGUCUGAACUGAUGAACUUCGCUGCGCACCUAGGACUGGAGAAGAGAACUUAUCUUUCGACACCUAGCAACGCUGUGUUCGAGGAAGAUGCAAAUGACAAAGCGUUCAUGCAAAUGCAAAACUCAUACACUAUCCACGAGUUUAUCUUGUCCUUUUCAAAAAAAAAUCUUGUCCGUUUCCACGAACUAGAUCACAUGCGCGGCACUUGGCACAAUCCCCAAUGACCCAGAACGUGCAUCCAGCAAACGGUCCCGGCCGGGUUUUGUUGAGGCAACCCACAUUUUCUCACUAAUCUAAUGCUAAUCUCUUGGACUUGCAUGGCACACAAGUGGUCACUACCUAGAGAUCUCUGCUGGGAGAUGCUUAGCAAGCAGCGCAACCUACGAGCGAGGUAGGCAGCAAGCGUACAGCCUGGUCAAUUGAAGUUGUGAAGACUUGGCACAUAUAGAACAACCUAGAGUCUUGUUCUUAUAGAGUUGUUUUUUAAGAGAAGUUAGCUUACUGACGCCGGCAUCGCCGCACAGCUUCACUUUCUAAUGCCACAGUUCGCCUUCUGGCUCUAGCCCCAGCAUCAGUAUUGCCUCUACCAUCACAACCCAUCAACACAAGCAGAGCACCAGCUAAUGGAGGCCACGGUGCUAAGCAUUGGCAAGUCCGUGCUGAAUGGAGCGCUUAGCUACGCCAAAUCUGCUGUGGCAGGGGAGGUGGCUUUGCAGCUCGGAGUCCAGGGUGAUCAGGCUUUUAUCACGGACGAGCUUGAGAUGAUGCAAGCUUUCCUGGAGGCUGCACAUGAGGAGCGAGAUGACCACAAGGUGGUCAAGACCUGGGUGAAGCAAGUCCGCGAUGUUGCCUAUGAUGUUGAUGACUCCCUCCAGGUAGAUAUAAGAGCGAAUAUAUGUGGGUUAAAAUUUUCGCAUCCCUUAGCAUGUUGCUGCAAAAUCCCAUUUAUUUUUUCUUCUUAAUUACUUGCAUUUUUCGGGCAUAAAAAUAUGGGUUAGUUGCUCCAAAAUAUUAUGCAAUAUGUGGCUGCAAAGUAUUCUGACAUAGGAACAAACAUAUGUAUUAGUUUUUUUUAGAAUAAAAUAUCCUAAUUAGUUGGUGAUAGAUCUUAUCUUAACAUCAACUUAUGCUCUGUUAGUGACACAAAUAGAUAAAAUGCAUGGCUGGUGAUAGCUCUUAGAUGAUAAAACUAUGAAGAAUGUUUUUUUUAGAAAAGGGGUAUUACCCCGGCCUCUGCAUCAGAAAGAUGCAUACGGCUCAUAAUUAAAAAACAAAACCAGUCACAAAAAUCUCCAACAUCUGAAGGUACGAAAAGAAAACAAGCUGCUCAAGCGAGCCUAAUCAAGAAGCCACAACCGGCUGGCAAAUAAAAUAGGAGCACUACAUGCCUAUCCUAUUACAUGACCGCCAUCCAAACCGGUUGAAAAUACCCCGAGCUACCAUCUCCGAUCGGGUAGACGCAGUAGCCAAACGCCCCUGGCCUCCGUCGGAGUGAGUAACACUACAAGAAACCUGUUAAUACGUGACGGUGCUAGUCCGUCACAGAUGAGUGUAAAGCUGUCAUGGGUGCCCAUGCAUGACGGACAUGAGGUCCGUCAUGUAUAUCGCGUCAUAAUUUGACAUCGAGCCUUCCUUGACGAUUCUUGACCGUCAUGGAUCUGCCCCAAGCCCGCCCAAGCCCAAACCAUCGUGACGGAACAAGCCGUCAUGGACUGAUGCCACGUUGGAUUUUCGAUUGGCCUGUUGGGAUUAUGUGGCAGUCUAUGUGGACACUACUUUCUGUCACAGAAAUCGUCAGGAAUGUAGGCCCAAUUUAAACUUGGUCUAGAAAAUUUCUUUCGGCCCAAUUUUAACACUGUAUAUUUUCUAGCCAAUUUUGGCCUGAAGAGAAAGUAUUUUCAAAUAGUUCACACAAUAUGUGGCCAUCUGCAUGUAUAUAUUUUUUUUCAAAAAAAAUCUGUGUGUAUAUACAACAUAGCAGCUUACAAAUCCUUCAUGCAAUGAUAAUUUACAGCAUAGAUUCACUAAAUAUAUCACACAACAAGGUUAAUAAGCAGUACAAUCCAAUUUACAUCAACAAAACAUAUAAAAUUUCGAGGCUGUUGUUCAGGUUGUUGUCGUCGACUCUCCUGAUGGCAACUAUCAUGUCAAGGUGCCGAUUAUGAUGGAUAGCACUAUGUAGCCCACUUCCCAAUCAUACCUAGCAUAUUUAAAAGAACAUUAGAUUUUUGCAGAUUGAUAGAUAGUAGAGAAAAGAGUAUUACAACAAAUUUAAAACAUGAAUUACAUGUCCACUUGGCCAACAUUGACAGUACUUUUACUUAUAACAGGAAACAAUAAUGAAACAAAGCAGUAUAUUUGUAUAGAAGGUGACAACAGUAUGAACAAGGCUUCCAUGUGUAUCAAACUUUCAUUAGCUUGCACAACUACAAAUUUAAUUUAUUACAUGGCUUACAAAUUACUUCAUGGUUAUUAAGGUACAAGCUAAAUCAUAAAACAUGAACACCAGCUGAACAUAAUACUUGUAAAAGUGUAGAUUCAGGAAAUAAAAAAUUAUGGGAUAGUAGUUCUAGUAAUAACUUCCUGGCAAAAAAAUUAAGAGCAUAAGCUGCUAUACUUUCUUUUAUUUAAGUUGGCAAUAAAAGAUCAAAACUACACUAGGAAAAACAAAUGCAACAAUUGAAAUUAUGAAAACAAAACACUAAAUAGUACUUGACUGACAAGCAACAGAGAAAUAUUAUAUAUUUUGGAUCUGUAAUAAAUAUCAAGAAACUUACACAAGACCAUUGCCUGUAAUAUCAAAUUCCAUAUGGAUACAAAACCUAUUUGAAGCUGGUUCCUGGAGUUCCUUCCAGAUAGCAACAUUAGCCCUUGACAAUAACAGCAAGACAUGCUAUAAUGCAAAUAUUUAAUUAUAACUGAAUAGAAGGAAGAUGCAGAUAGAACUUUUGAUAUAUGAAUAGCUGCAAGGGUGUUGGGCAUCAAUAACACUUUUAACAUUGGUAAGUGUCAAGGAUUUAUCCUCAAAAUGCAAAUCUUGUAUAUGGAUAAAUACAACUCUGUAUUCAGGCAUUGACAAAUCAAUAUCACACAAAACAUAUGAUGGCUACUUUCACCACAUAACACAGAGAAAGUUUGCAUAUAAUUUAGAAUAGAGAAGCAGUGUAAGAGCAGACGUAGUUAACAAACAAUCUUACUCCUAGUCACUCGAUUGAGUGAGAAUAAUGAAAUACUUUGAGAUCAAAACAGUAAACAGAAUAUGCCACAAUGUUAAUACCGUAACAAAAUCAUGUCUUCAAGGACUAUUUAACAGAACAGGCAUUGCAAUAUAUUAAUACUGUGAGACAACAUCUACAAAAAAUCAUAUGAACAAACAAGUCGACAUGCAGUAAACAGGCUUUGAUUGCUUACAAUAGAAGAUCAUUUUCAACAAUAACAACAUCUACAAAAAAUCAUAUGAAACAAACAAGUCGACACUGCAGUAAACAUGCUUUGAUUACUUACAGUAGAAGAUCAUUUUUAAGAUUCUGGAAUAUGACUAAGUAGUAUAUAGUUGAUUGAGUAAAAACCACAGGAUAUCCACAAUCAAUGGAUGCAUGGAGGAAUGUAACAAGAGAACUUGUCUAGCCACUAACCAGGAUUUCAGUAAAAAGAAUCAGUCAUUGUGUGAUGUUCUUUUACUUUUAGAAUUUGCUCUUGGACCAUUUGAGAGUACAAUUAAGUCUGGUACUCUGGAAAAAAAUUAACAGCAACUAAGCAAACAAUAUAGAACUAUGGAAUCCAAGAAAGUUUGAACAAAACAAGUACGAACUGCAUCAUCCUUGACGCCAAAAAAAUGACAGUCUUAUCUAACAAGACGCCAAGUACGGAAUUCAUAAUCCUUGAGACCAAAAGGAGUUAUGAAAUAUUCACAAAUGUAGGCAAAAAUUCCGGGCAGUGGUAUAAAACUUCUAACAGAGAGAAUCAAGUCAUGACAGUCUUAAGGCAGGAGCAUAUACUGCAAUAUAUAAUCAUAUAUGAAACAAACAAGUCAACACUGCAGUAUGCAUGCUUUGAUUUAUGUAAGUAACAAAAAGAACUAAUGCAACAGAUUUAUGUGGUUUUGUUGUACUGUAUAUGUCCAUAGUAUCCCAAAUAGCACAGAUAUUUCACUAGAAAUCACAGAUCCUCAUCACAGAAAUACAUUACCAAUUUUGUUUGGAACUAGUGCAUGUAUGCAGAAUGAAAAACAUUGUGGAAAAGAGGGUACGAAGAGAAGCAAAGCCUCACCGGAUCUUGAGGAGGAGCACGAGGAAGAGGUGUCGUGGGAGAGAGGGGUGGCGACGACAGCCUCCCCUCACUUACGGUGGCCUCCAGGGGGUUGUCGGCGAGAUCCAGGAGGAGGACGUCAUUGGCACAUGAGCAUCGCAAGAUCCCAUGGUCAGCUUGCGUUCGGACGUCGCCGUCCUCCCUCUACUGCUGCUCGACCCCAUCCUCUUGUCCUCCUUGUUCCAUCCUCCCCUGAGCGGCUGAGGAUGCGGUGGCCAUCAUCAUGGCGGUUGACGGUGGUGGCUGUCCGGAUCUGAAAAAGUGGUAAGAGAUGUGAGGGAAUAGUGUUGCGGCAGUUGACGGUGUGCUGGUCAUCAUCGUGGAUCGAGAGAGGAAGGGGAGUGUCGGCGGAAGGCUGUGGGAGGAGGGAGGUGAGGAGGUGAGGAGGGAGGCAAGGAGGUGAGGAAGGGGAGGACCGGCGAAGGGCUGCGGGAGGAGGAAGGCGAGGAGGUGAGGAAGGGGAGGGCGGCGAAGGGCUGCGGGAGGAGGGAGGCGAGGAAGGGGAGGGCCGGCGAAGGGCUGCGGGAGGAGGGAGACGAGGUGGUAGGUGGCGGUGAUGAGGAAUUAGGACGGGGCUGCCGACGAGGAAGAGAGGAGGGGCAGAGGACGAGGGUUAGGGUUAGCAUUUUAUAUGGGUAAAGAUUAGAUGGGCUUUAGCGGGCUUGGGCGGGCUUGCGGGGCUAUACCACACCGUCCAUUACGUUUUUGAAAACGUUAAUAAAAAUCCGUCAUGUAUUAACAAAUUUCUUGUAGUGUAACGACCACAUACGGAUCAAUGCUGUGGCCCUGAAGAUAACCUGCAAAAAGUGAAAGUUUGUUUUUCUGUUAAAAACCAAAUCAUUUCUGCAGUUCCAUACUGCCCAUAACAAGGCACACACUCCGACACGAAUGUGUCUUGCUACAUCCAAGUUAACCCCAUCAAGCCAUGUUCCAAGUAACAUAUUGAUAGAGGUAGGUGGAGUAAUAUUAAAAGCAAUAUGAAUCGAACGCCAAAGAAUCUUAGCCAGCGGACAAUCUAGAAAGAGGUGCCUUAUAGUUUCGUUACAAUCACAAAAGCUACACCUAGCAGAACCCAUCCAAUUGCGUUUUGCCAGGUUGUCUUUUGUCAAAAUGACUUGUUUAUGCACAAACCACAUAAACACUUUGAUUCACAAAGGUACCUUAACUUUCCAGACGUGCUUCGAGCAAGGAAUGACACCAGUGUUUAUGACAUCCAGAUACAUGGAUUUGACCGAGAACCUGCCGUCCUUAGUCAGUUUCCAAGACAAUCUAUCUGGCUGCUGAGACAGCUGGACAUCCAUCAACCUUCGUACAAGAUGAAGCCAUGCCUCUCAACGAUGGCCUACUAGCGUCCUCCGGAAGCUAAUAUUGAGAGGCGUGGACUGACUAAUUUCAUCAGCCAUAAAUAUGUAUAUGUACUCGAUGCAUCAUGUCCUAGUUUCAUGAUCCGUAUCAUUAGUAUUCCAUUUAAAUAUCUUGAGAUGAAUGCAGUUUCGUCAGUAUUCAGUUGGUAUUUAAUCCAUUGAUAUCCUUACCUUCAGGAUUUCGCUGUUCGUAUUGAAAAAUAUUCCUGGUGGCACAUUCGCACGCUGCUAGACCGGCGCCGUGUGGCCAAGGAGAUGAAGGAUCUGAGAGUCAAAGUGGAGGAUGUGAGCCAAAGGAACGUGCGCUACCGCCUCAUCAGGCGCUCUGGCUCCAAUCCUACCUCCAAUGAUGAACAUGCUAUCAUCAGCACCGAAGUACAACUUCAGAUCGCUGAGGCUACGCGUGCUGCACUGCAGGACAAGAAAAAGGUGAAUCUGGUCAAACUGAUCACUCGAGAUGAAAAUGUUCCUAGUGCCAUUGCAGUGUGGGGAGCAAGCAGUGAUGUUGGGGUCGCAUCCAUUAUUAGGGCAGCCUACAAUAAUCAAGAUGUAAAAGCCAAAUUUGAGUGCCGAGCCUGGAUAAGGCUCACACAUCCCUUCAAUCCAAAUGACUUCUUUGCAAGCUUGGUGAGGCAGUUUUAUGCGGAGUCAUGCAAAGACAAUGUUAAAAGAACAGGGGUGCAGGUUUUGAAGCAGAUGGAAGCACGUGAUAAUUUGGUUGAUGAUUUCAAUCGGUUUGUGACGGACAAUAGAUAUCUGGUUGUUAUUAAUGGUGUCUCUACUAUAGAAGAGUGGGAUUGGAUCAAAACAUACUUCCCGAACAACAAAGGAAGCCAAAUUAUUGUGUCCACUUAGACUUUUGAAGUUGCAAGUUUAUGCACUGAGCAGCCUUAGAUGCUAUCUGAGAUAGAGCAGAACUGGUCAAUCGACAAGGAAUUUUUUGCCUUCUAUAAGAAGGUAAACAUCCUCUUCCUCAAAAUGAGAGAAUUGUGAACAUGCAUAAUUGCUGGAUAAAUUGAUGCUGCGAUAUAUAUACUUGUUACAUUUAAUGGAUAGUUCUUUUCAUUUGUAAAACCAACUAGAUCCAUUGUAAAAAAGUAUUAUGUUUAUGAUAAGUAUGCACAAUUACAAUCGGCUUCGACCAGGCAAAAAGUGUAAGCCAUGUACAUCCUUAUAUAUUUCUCUGUUUUGGUGAUGAAAUUCAUAGGUUUAUUUUCCAUAUAUUUUGGAACGGAUGCAGUACUUCUUUCAGAUGGCCACGUUGAUCUGUGACUAUUGUGCUCGUCAAAGUACAAUUAGUUUUGUCGGCAUCAAACUUCUCUACUUUGACCAAAUUUACAGAGAAAUAUAACAAAUCAUAUCAUUUUACUCAUCGUAAAAAAAUUAUAUUUUAUUUAUUUGGUAUUUUAUAUAUUGAUAUAUUUUGCUAUGAAAUUGGUCAAACAUGGAAAUGUUUGUCUUCCAGAAAAAGUUAUACAUCUUACAUUUUAAACGGACAAAGUGGUGCAGAUUGCUAGAAAUAUUAUCAUGCAUUGGAAACUAGAACUUAACGCAAAUAUAAAUGCAUCUUGGAGGGAAGUAUGCCCCCUAAGUGUUUCUUGGUGUUCAGGUGGACGCUGGAACCCAAGAGGAGGACAAGGCUGGAUCCACCUCAACUGAACCUGAGAAGCUCACUCCUGCCUGUGCAAUGGCUGCUGCUUUGGUGGAAGGUGAACUCAUUGACCGAGUGGCAGCAAAAGCGAAACUUAUGGACUUAAUUACUCCUGUGAGUAAUCCAGGUGGUGAGGUGAUUGCCAUUUAUGGAAUGGGUGGACUUGGAAAAACAACUCUUGUGAGAAGCAUCUACCAACAAGAACCUGGUGGCAGGUUUCAGAGGUGCGCCUGGUUAACAGUGUCACGUUCUUUCACCGAGAAGGAAUUUAUGUGGGACUUACUCCAGCAAUUGUUAAGCAAUAAUGAAGAUAAAAGGGAUUUUGUCUCUGGCUCUGGCUUUGGCUCUGGCUCUGGCAAGGAGCCAAUUGUCAAGUUGGCGGAGAUUUUACUUGAACAUAAAUGCCUCAUCGUUUUGGACGAUCUGUGGUCUGUUGGGAAAUGGCAGAGGACAAUGAAGCUCCUGCCGCCACCAAGAAAUGAUGGUUGUAACCGGAUCAUUGUUACCACACGAGAACUGAAUAUUGCUGAAAGUUGUUCUUCCAGAAAGGAGAAUAUAUACAAUCUUGAACUCCUAAAUGAAACGGAUGCUCGUAAGCUAUUUCAAAAGAAGGUACGACCACAAACCAUUGAACUAGUAAAAGUACUGGUUUCAGCUAAUUUAGCUUCUCAUUUUUCUGUUCAACAUGUCUCUUUGCAUAAAAUAUCUUCUAGUCACAUUGUUUAACUUCUCUGUACUUAAAUCAUCUACGAAUAAUUGUGUAAAUAUUUAUUUUUUAUUCCAAGAAAGAAGCUAAACAUAUAUUAAUUAUGUUGCACAUUUUUUAUUAAGUGACACAGGCUAAAAUUAAGAAUAUAAAGCAGGCUCAAACACCUCACUAAACUUGCCUUAUUACCUCAUGGUCACGGAUUGACACUGCAACGGGCGCCAUAGGAAUACAUAAAUGAAAGGACAUAGGCGACGUGCUUUGUGGUACCCAUCUGUAUACAAACGCACUUCAUCUGUAUACAAACAAACUUGUCCAUUCGGCGAGCUAGAACCUCCAUCUGUAUACAAACACACUUGUCCAUGGAUUAAAACUAUGCCAUAGGCGAUAACAUACCUACUCCUUCAUCCCAAGUACUUAUGGUUCCAGAUUUUUCUGAAGUCAAACUUCUAUUAAUUUGAUCAAGUUUGUAAAUAAUUAUUAACAUUCAUAAUACAGAAUAAAUAUACUAUAAACACAUAAUUCAUAAUCAGUCUGGUCGAAUGAGACUAUUUGGUGUUGUAGAAUUUGGUAUGCUUUUAUACAGAGUUAGUCAAACUUGGCGAAGUUUUAUUUGGUGUUGCNNNNNNNNNNNNNNNNNNNNNNNNNNNNNNNNNNNNNNNNNNNNNNNNNNNNNNNNNNNNNNNNNNNNNNNNNNNNNNNNNNNNNNNNNNNNNNNNNNNNNNNNNNNNNNNNNNNNNNNNNNNNNNNNNNNNNNNNNNNNNNNNNNNNNNNNNNNNNNNNNNNNNNNNNNNNNNNNNNNNNNNNNNNNNNNNNNNNNNNNNNNNNNNNNNNNNNNNNNNNNNNNNNNNNNNNNNNNNNNNNNNNNNNNNNNNNNNNNNNNNNNNNNNNNNNNNNNNNNNNNNNNNNNNNNNNNNNNNNNNNNNNNNNNNNNNNNNNNNNNNNNNNNNNNNNNNNNNNNNNNNNNNNNNNNNNNNNUAUAUAUUAGUUCCUUGUGCAUAAUGCCAGGGCAUGAUAACCAUACAAGGCCCCACCAUUUUCAAUGUAUUUGCAAAACUAAUUAGAUCGAGAGCAUCUACACCAACCUAUCACACUUCCUCCAGCACCGCAUUAUCCGAAGACUCGGUUCUUCCUUCCGACCAACUCUCCUGCUGAUACUUUGUCUCAGUCAUCAUCUUAUACACAGAUCUAACCAUGAUAGCACCCAAAUUUUCCUACUGACAUGCCCAUAAUUCCUUUUGCACAAUUGGAAUUUUCCGUGCCACUUCAACGUCCAUUGGCAGCAUAUGCGCCUCUCAUUUGUCGUUGAACAUACCAGUUCAGAGACCAGCGGAAGGUUCUCUAAGGCGGCAAGGUAAAGUUUCUCAGCAGCCAAUUGUCAUCCCAAAUGGUUGUCUUGCACGCAUCACGAGUACUUGAUUGAGCAUAUCCAUCCCUUCACACAGGUCUCUCCAAACUUGACACGGACAAAGUGCAAGCAGUUUUGUGCCACUUCCCUUAGUUAUGUGUUAUGUACCACUGCUUGUAACGGCGGGCGUCUCACACGACGGUGUGUGUAAGCCACACGCCAGCACCUAGCAUAUAUGGUUGUCCCAACCUCCGUCCACAUGCCCAAUGGCAACUAAUCCAGGAAGAAGAGAGCUACAGAAAUCCAACUAUGGCAUUCUCGUCUUCAUUGCCCCACAACACCAUGGCAUAGGAGGCAGUGAGGCACUACCUCUCCUUUUGAGGAAUCGGUAGGAGCAUUGCCUUUUCAUAACAGGACAGGUGAAAUAAUGUACAUAGGGGUACAAAUUUUGUGGGGAACGUAGGGGAGGGGUGGUGGAAGAUUUGUGGCACGCAUAUGCGGGGCACGCACUUUUCUGGGGCGUUGUGGACCACACGAUUGCCUCACAAUUCAGAAAUUUGUUUGGUCUUAGCAUGUGUUUUAGCCCUUAAUUACUGUAGAUGGACUCCAUGCAUGGAACUUUUGGCGAAGAGCCAGAGACUGCAUGCUCCACCCACCUCACCUCCCAUGCUUUUUCUUUUGACUUCCAAAUUCAUAUCUAUUGUAUCUUUUGAACCGAAAGUCAAAUUUGGAAAGAGGGUUGUGCGUUGUGCCUGCACAAGACCACAUCAUGUAUGUGUUGGGCUUGAAGCUGUGGAUCUUCAACGAUAAAGGACAAUUCAUUGAAUUGAUAUAUCGAGUUGAUACAAACGCAUUGAAAGAAUGCCCGACCUCUGCAUAGCAUGAUGCACACAGCCAAUAAGUCCUAACAACCCAAAAAUAAACAUUGGUUUACAUAAAAAAAUAAUACUUCAGUCCAGCCUAUGGUGCCGCAGAUCCAAGCCAGAGAUUACACCGCCAUCCAUGAAUGGAGAAAACCUCCCUGGCCGUAAGCUCCAGCCGUGUAGACGUCGCCAUAAAAAGAUCAAUUUCCUCCGGCAUCUGCAGGAUAGACUAGGUACGGAGCCAUCGCAUACACGCACAAAUAACCUGCACAGGGGAUGAAACACAUUUAUUUAUUAUUAAAAAUCACAUCAUUCCUGGUAAGCCUCAAUGUCAAGCAUAAGACAGCCGCCCCCCGAGAAUAUGUGCAGAAAUUUGUUAAUAAAUACCUCUGAACCAAUUGCCAAGCAUGUUAAGUGCACUACGUGGGGAUAUAGAUUUAAAGCUACUUGAACUAUGUCCCAAACUGAACGAGCGAACUUACACUAAAAAAGAAUAAGUGUUUCAUCGACUCGUUAUGUUGGCAAAAAACACAUGUCUUGCUAUUUUGCCAGUUUCGUCGUGCCAAAUUGUCUCUAAUUAAGAUGACCCCUCUUUUUAGAAACCAGAGGAAUAUUUUCACUCAUAGAGGAAUUUUGAGCUUCUAUAUUUUUCUGUUAUCAACCAAAACAUCAGUACGAACCAUUGCCUCAUGCAAGGAUUUCAUUGAAAACCUGCCGUUUUGAUGCAAAUUCCAUCGAAACUUGUCUGGUUCACCUGACAGCUGAAUGGUCUCCAAACAAAUGAGUAAUUCAUUUCAUGCUACCAAGCGAGGCCCUAGAAGAUCCCUAUGUAAAGAAAUACCAUUGUUUUCUUUGCCCAAAACUUGUUUGAUCGUGACAAAUUUAUGUCUGCCAAUCCUGUACAAGCUAGUGUAUUGCACCAUAACUGGGGUGGCCCCCAGCCAGGUGUCUUCCCAGAAUCAAACCUGAGAACCAUCCCUAACCGAGAAGGUACCAAAUUGGAAGAAGAAUUAUUUGGCCUUCAUCACGCCACAAAAAAAAUGUGAAUCACCUUGUUUCCAAUGAACUUUUCGAUGGUUUUGGACCCCACAUACUUUUUACAAAUGGCAGUGAGAAGUUUGUAAACCCAUUGAGAAGAGUGAUGUUUGUAAUCUCAAGAUCUUGAGUCCCAAGUCCGCCUUGGCUUUUAGGUUUGCGUAAAACACUCCACCCAGCCAACCAAUAUUUCCUAGAUUCCUUAUUGUAGUACAAAAAAAACUGGAUCAAAAGUAAUCGAUACGCUGAAGCACCCCUUGCGGUAGAUGGUAAAAAGACAACAUGUAUAUAACCAUAUUGCUCAAGACAGAAUUAAUCAAUAUCAAUUUCUCCCCAUAUGAAAAGAGUUUGGCCUCCCAAUUGGCUAGACAUUUCUCAAGUUUCUCUUCCAUGUACUUCCACUCAACGAUAGUUCAAUGCCGAUAAUAUAUGGGAUUGCCUAGAUACCGAAUAGGGAACUGCAUGAGCUGGCAGUUGAAAUUUUCAGCAUAACCAGAUGUAGAUUAUGCGGCUUCACCAAAACAGAAAAGUUCGCUCUUAUGGAAACUAAUUUUGGGACCAGAGAGCUCCUCAAUACACAUAGAAGCUGCUUGAGAUUUCUUGCUUUAUCUAGGUCAUGAUCCAUAAAAGGUAUAAUGUCAUCUGCGUAUUGUAGAAUAGAUAGACCUUCUACUAAAUGAGGAAUGACACCGCUAACCUAACUGGACACCUUAGCCCGCUGAACAAGGGUGGCUAACAUAUCGGCCACAAUGUUAAACAUAACAGAGGAUAGGUGUCCCCUUGGCAAAGCCCCUUCGUAGUCUGAAAGUGGUUUCCAAUAUAUCAUGAAAUUUGAUGGCCACACGACCUCCAAAAGCAAAACUUUCUACCUAUCAACACCAUUUUAGUGAAAACCACUUCAUGCAUAAGUAUGCGAAAGAAAGGGCCAUUUGUCUUUACCAUGUCUUUUCGAAGUCUAUUUUGAAGAUGACUCCGCUCAAAUUUUUGAAGUGAAGCUCAUGUAUAGUUUCAUGCAGCACAACAGACUCCAUCUAGUAUGUUGCGUCCUUGCAUAAAAGUUGUUUUGUUUUACCACAUGGUCAAGCACCCUGUUCAACCAAUUAGUUGCAACCUUCGUAAAGAUUUUAAAGCUUGCAUUUACAAGGAAAAUUGGUUGAUAUUGUUGAAUAUGACUAGCCUCCUUAUUCAAGCUGUGGAUUUAGUUAAGCUUUGCAUACCGAGCUAACUUGGGUCGCUCCUUGCACUAGCCAGGGUCACUGUAGAUGUGCGUCCGUUCAAGCUAGCCUUAGAAUUGUUGCAAGCAUAGUUGGCACUUAGCAUGGCGUAUCGCAGGAGACUAGAAGUGAGAUGAUUCCGGACUGGGCAAGAUGGUGAACAACAUAUGUACAAGGUAAGGGCAUAUCCAAGGGCAGUCCUCACACCCCCCUCAAAUGUCCAAGAAGAGAGUCGAGACAUUGUCCAAACGAUGCGCUACAGGAAUCAGAUACUUUGCCGUCCGCCAUGGCGGACGGCAAAGGCAUGGACGGCGGACGGCAAAGGCCUUUGCCGUCAGCCGCGGACGGCAAAAGGCUCCGGCAACGUGGACUACGGUAAACGGGUACUUUGCCGUCUGCCACUGUCGGCAAAGUCUUUGCCGUCCGCCGCGGACGGCAAAAAGAGAGAGGCGGACGGCAAAGACGGCUGACGGCAAUAGUUGCGCCGUCAGUCCGUUAAGUGGCUAACGGAAGGCCUUUGCCGUCCGCCGCUGACGGCAAAAUUUCUAGGGUCUUUGCCGUCCGCCGUAUGACGUCAUCUACACGUCACUACGUGGCAGAUUCUUUGCCGUCGGCCACUGACGGCAAACUUUGCCGUCUGCCACUGUCGGCAAAGUCUUUGCCGUCUGCCACUGUAGGCAAACUGACCAAAUUGGUCAGCUCCCAGGGAGCACAGUUUGCUGCCACGUGGCUUCUUUGCCGUCCGCGGCUGACGGCAAAAAGCCCUUUGCCGUCGGUGGCAGACGGCAAAGAGCCUGCAUAUUGGCUGUUUUAUCUGUUUUUUAUUAAAUCCAACAAUUUUCAUCACAAAUAUAUAUGACAUAUAUAGAUAUAUUUCAAAAGGCCAUUACAGAGCAAACAUAUAAGAUAUCCUCAUCCAACCAUAUAUAUUAAAUGCAUAGUUUCAUCAUACAUAACAAGUUCAACAUAGAGGCAUCCAACCAUAUAUAUUACAAUAGUUUCAUCCUACGAUACAUGCAUAGUUCAACGAUACAAAAGAAACAGAGAAAGGGAUAAGGAGCACUCCAUCUAUGCAAGCUGUCGUCAAGUGAAUGAAAUCUGCAAAAUGAAAAAUAAGAAAGUUAGAACAAGAAGAGUAGAACAAGAAGAAGAGUAGAACAAGAAGAAGACUAGAACAAGAAGACUAGAACAAGAAGAAGACUAGAACAAGAAGAGUAUGUCAUUUAUGAGCUAACUUACGUGAAAUGGAUCAUAUAUGAGCUAACUAAGUUGGAAUGGGUCGUUUAUGAGCUAGCUAAGGUGAAAUGGAUCAUUUAUGAGCUAACUUAGUUGAAAUGGGUCGUUUAUGAGCUAACUAUGGUCAAAUGGAUCGUUUUUUAGGUAACUAAGGUGAAAUGGGUCGUUUUUUAGCUAACUCUGCUGAAAUGGAUCAUUUAUAAGCUAACUUAGUUGAAAUGGAUCGUUUUUUUAGCUAACUUGGUGAAAUGGAUCGUUUAUGAGCUAAAUUAGUUGAAAUGGGUCAUUUAUGAGAUAACCUAGGUAAGAUGGGUCAUUUUGGAGUUAACCUAGGUGAAAUGGGUCAUUUUAAAGCUAACGUGGGUAAAAUGGAUCAUUUAGGAGCUAAUAUAGGUAAAAUGGGUCAUUUUUGAGCUAACUUGGAUGAACUGGAUCAUUUAUAAGCUAACCUAGGUAAAAUGGGUCAUUUUAGAGCUAACUUAGGUAAAAUGGAUCGUCUAUGAGCUAACUAAGCUAAUUGUGCAAUUUUUGACAUAAGUAAGCUAAGUACAGAUCGUUUUAGAGCUAACUUAGGUAAAAUGGAUGGUUUUGGAGGUCAGUAAGCUUAUUAAGUCAUUUUGGAGGAGAAGAAGCUAAGUCUACGUCAUUAUGGUAAGCAUUGGAGGAAAUAAAGCUAAGUCUAGGUCUUUAUGCAUGUGUUAAGCAAAACACUAGAUAAACUUACCAAGAUCCAGGAGGUGUAGGAGCGGGGUGGCUCGUGUCGGUAGCUGGAGAAGGAUCGUGCGAUGCUUGUCUGGAGUUAUGCUGCACCAAAGAUCAUUUCCAAUGUCUUGUUAGCAUGAUGACACUCAAAUGUUAAGACUAGCAAGUAAUGUCCAUUCAAAUAAAACUCACCGUGGUCCCAGGAGCAAUCACUGGCAUCGGCGGAGCGGUCUGACCUGUCUUCUCGCACACAGACUACACAUUUGGUUUUGACGACUCAGUCAUACUAGUUAGUAAUGAGACAAACACUACAUGAAUGUUUUGGCUAAUCUGCAGAAGAAACUUACCACAAGGAGCUCGUACAUGGCCCUUGCCUGCAUGUCAUUCCGUGCCCUCUCCUCCUCCAGCAUCUUUGUCGUCCUCUCCUCCAACUCCCGCUGCCUCUCCGCCGCCUCCGCCAGAAGUUUCUCCGUUCUAUCUCUCUCACUCUGUAUAGCAGCCUGCAAUACCACUCACAUGACCAUUUGUAAUCAUUGAUGGAAGCGCACACAAUGUAAUGGAGAAAGAUAACUGAGUACGUAUCACUAACCUUGAUGGCGAGUUGCACUGGCCGUUCACGAGGCCUUAUCUCAGGAGCGGAGCUCGACUGGCGCGCCUUGAUCUCCGGGAGAGUGCUAGGACAACGGAUAAGUCCAUCUCCAAUGGCUAUGGAGCCAUGGUACCUCCCACCACCAGAUAUCAUCAACAGCUCUGGAUCAAUGGGACCCUGGCUCGGGUUAAAGUCCUCCCCUUUCCUCGCCUUCCCCUCAUCUCUAUAUCUCACGAGCUUGUUGUGGGAGGAGAUGUUGGUGAAGUUGUUUGCAUCAUCGAGGUCAGACUGAGAGAAAGCCUUGACUUUCUUGUAUGAGGCAGUGUGGGCCAUGGCAUACAGGUCAUACACCUCUGGCACCUUAUCCGCCUUAUUGUAGCGUGCCUGAAAGAGAGAAACAAUGAAAACUAGUAAUUAAAGGGCUCAAGCUAGCAUGAUGAAUGAAUUGCAUGAAUCAUGAAGCAAACCACAUACCCAGUUGCGCCCGAACUGAUAUAAGUUGGAGCUGCCUUGAUGGUGUGGCACACCUUCCAUUUGGGCACGUUUGUCCUUGGCCUCCUUGUGGAGGGCUAGCCAUUGUGGUGAGCACCACUCAUCGACCAACACCUCCCAACAAUCCAUCCGAUCCGCACACCAUCUCGGAGGCGCCUAAGUUAGCAAAUAGAAACUUGAGCGCUACGGCUAAGAAUUACUAAAUGAAGGAACUUAAGUAGAGAAGGCCUUAAGAAUUACCUUCAUGUACUGCUCCUUACUCAGGAACUUAUCGCGGCACGCCGGCUUGGUCUUCUUGAUACCACGCAAGGCGUAGUAGUCUCGAACAGCCUGCACCCGAGCCUCGUGCCGUAAGUUCUGGAGUAGGCGCUUGCAGACGUUCUCGAUAACAUGUGCCGCCUCCUCCUCGUAUCCCUCCUCACACCUGUAGAAUGUCUGCAAUCAAAUGAGACAAUGUUGAUUAGUACAAUUAAUAACUAGCUAGUUGAAGAUUUUUAAAUGUGUAAAGGAGAAAUUACCCAGAACUUUCUGAUCACCAUGUCUGCCCUCGUGACACACACGACACCGUCGAUAAUCUCAUUUGGCGGGGCCGGGGCAGCCACGUAGUGCUCCCAGCUCAAUCCAAGCUCUGGAAGCCGACCCUCACCAGGCAACGUGACAAACCCCGGGAAGUUUUGCCGGCAAAGAACUCCAAGGACGGAGUUGGGCCGGCGGACACUAGGAUGGUGGUCCCAACCCCUGCAGCAUGACAAGGCCAACACAUUAGUUAUUUGAAAAAACGUGAAUGCACAAGGUACAAAAAUAUUAAAUGCACUUACGUACCUCUCCCCAUCAGGGAAAACCAACCACCUCUGCUCGCGGGUCACCGGCACGGACGGGAGCCGUGUAGCACCACGCUGGUAGACGGUGCCCCCCUCCUCCUCCUCAAGAUCAGUCGGCUCCCCGCCAUCAUCAGCAUGGCCACUCGGCUCCUCGGGCUGAUCCGGCCAGGUACCCCAUCCGGACGUGUGCUCCUCCGGGGUCACGUGGGCCGAACUCUCGUGGGCCGAAGACCCGUGGACCGGAGGCUCGUGGACCGGAGUCCGUGUAGCCUCCUCCUCGGACGAGUCCACCCUAGCAGUCACGUGCUCGGGUGAAACGGCUGGGGGUGGCGGCGAGGAAGGCACCGUAGCAGUCACCCUACCUCCUCUCCCACGACCACGUGCCCCACCUCCUCUCUUCCUACCUCGUCCCCUGCUGGGCACCACGGUCGACGAAGAAGGGCCCGGCGGUGUGGCCAUACUGUCCAGCAACGCUCGGCGGAGAGGUGCGUCUGGAAUGGAAGACCUCAGGCCACGCUCCCGACCAGCGCCCACCAUCUUUCAACACCUGCCAUGACAAACAGUAAAUGAAAUUAGUACAACAUAAAAAAAGACCGACAUGAAUAAUAAUAUGUGUAUCACUUAAGUGUAUCAUCAUCAAGUACAACAUAAAAAAAUGUAAUACCUGACACUACUAAUAAUCUCGAUCAGUAUCAUCAAUAAAUGCAUAAUCAUCAUCAUCACUAUAAUCAAUGACGGGCUCAUAGGGUUCAUUGGCAUCAACAUGUGCAAGGCCACCUUGACGUAAUCGGUCAAGCAUUGACAGGUCAUCCGCAGCAGUAACCUCUUCUUGUUCCGGCUCUUCUUGUUCCUCCUCUGGGAUGAUGUCGGAUUCAUUGUCGCUGUCUACUUCAAUGUUUUGGGGUGAAGUAUAGCGGUUCUUGAAACGCUUUUUGGAAAGACGUGUCUCUUGGAAGAAUUCUCCUUCAUAUGUGUCUGGGUUAAUGUGAGGUUCAUAAUCCUCUUCCUUUGGGGGAGAAAGUCUAGCACGUGGCGGCACUUCAUAAACGACAUCCCAACCUUUCAAAUUUGGAUUAGUUUGGCAGGCCCACGGUAGAUAGAAUACUUGGGUCGCCUGUUGAGCCAUAAUAUAGACAUCAGGAACAUCUAAAUGAGUGCUUUGGUUGAUUUCAACUAGCCCUACAUGUUCAUGAGUCCUUCUAGUCUCCUUCGGCUGAAACCAAUAACAUUUGAAGACUACGACAUUCGGUGGGUUUUCACCAUAGAACAGAAGUUCAUAAAUUGCUUCAACUCUCCCAUAAUACUCGGUACCUCCUUCACCGAUAGCAGAUACACAACAAUUUGUUGACUUUCGGUCCGCCAUCGAUAGCUCUUUGCCAUAGGUACGAAAGCGAUACCCGUUGAUGUCGUACUUGUCAAAUGAACGGACCUUAUAGUCAAAACCAUUAGCGACUUGUCUCAAUUCGGCGUCCAUAGACUCUGAAUUAGCCUACAGGUUUAAUAUGGAAGGAUUGUUGCAUUAUCCACAAAUUAGCGAAUGAAAUGAAAUUGUCUAAUAGAAAUUACCGUUUGUUUGAACCAAGAGAUGAAACCGGGAUAGCCACCUCCUUGCUUUGCGAGAAGCUCAUACUCUUCGACGGAAUCCUUUUGGAUCUCCGCUCCAUACGAGAAUAUGGUAACGUAUCGACUGUAUGACAUAUCUAGGAAUAAGAGUAGUUCAAAGGAAAUAGAAGUUGCGAAACAAUGUACCGAGAACUUACUCGAUGUACGGCCGCACUUCUAUCAGGUUGUUGAAGAUAUACAACGAAAUGGUCCGCCAUUCUUCGUUAUCCAAAGAUACUGGAUGUGAAACACUAGCUGGUGCGAGAUUCCCUUUGAAUAGGCUGAGGUUAGAUCCACCCUUUUUAGGCUCGUCAGCAUUGUACCGAGGCUUCGGAUUAUGCAAAUGACGAUUUUUGGCUUCGUAGUGCGCUGUUACGAAGUUUGCCGCCUCCUCUGUAAUGAAUGCCUCAGCCAUCGAUGCUUCAAUUCUACGUUUAUUUUUACAUUUUUGUCGAAGCGUCUUCUGCAUCCUCUCAGUUGGGUAGCACCAACGAUUUUGCACGGGCCCCCCCAAUCUUGCCUCGGUCGGGAGAUGCAAAAUCAAAUGCUGCAUUGGAUUAAAGAAGCCCGGUGGAAAGAUCUUCUCUAACUUGCAGAUCAACUCCGGCGCCAACUCUUCCAUUUCUUCUACCACGCCAGGCGAUAGUUCUUUCGCACAAAGAACACGGAAGAAAUAGCUGAGUUCUGCCAGUACUAGCCAUUCAUCCUCAGGGAUGAAGCCACGCAACAUCACCGGCAUUACCCGCUCAAUCCAUAUGUGCCAAUCAUGACUCUUGAGACCAAAUAUCUUCAGUUUAUCAAGAUUCGCUCCCCUCUUUAGAUUCGCUGCAUACCCAUCGGGAAACAUCAACUGCUGUUGCACCCACAAGAGAAUUUCCCUCAUAGCUGGCCUUCCAAGAUUGAACCAUGCCUUUGGCUUCGUCCAGUUCUGCUUUCCUUUCGGUUCUUUCAUGUUUUGUAACGGCCUAUCACAUAGCGCCUCCAGAUCGACUCUGGCCUUAGUAUUAUCCUUUGACUUCCCAUCUAUGCCGAACAAUGUACCAAAAAGUGCCUCGGCGAUAUUCUUCUCAGUGUGCAUCACGUCGAUGUUGUGUGGGCAAAGGAGGUCUUUGAAGUAAGGCAGAUCCCGUAAGCAUGUUUUGUGAGUCCACGCGUGCUUAGUAUUAUACCCCUUGAAGUACCCUGGACGUUGUGGAUCUGGCUCGAGAGCGUUUAACUGAUCCAGGGUCUGUUGGCCUGUCAAUGCAGGUGGUGCAGAGUUUUUGACAACUCUACCCCUGAUGAAGUUCUUCUUGUCUUUCCUGAACUUAUGGCGAGGAUCCAGGAACUGUCUAUGCAUGUCGAAGCAAGAAUACUUGCGACCGGCCUGAAGCCAACGAAACUCAAGAGCUCCCUUGCAUGUGGGGCACGGGAACCUUCCAUGCACACACCAGCCAACGAAUAGCGCAUACGCCGGCAAGUCAUGCGUCGAGUACAUGUACCAGACACGCAUUAUGAAGUUCCGUUUGCUAAAGGCGUCGUAUGUCUUGAACCCAUUAUCCCAGGCUUCUUGCAAUUCUUCCUUAAGCGGCUGCAUGUACACAUUCAUAUUUUUGCCCGGAUAGUUGGGUCCUGGAAUUAUCAACGUCAGGAAAAUGUUCUUUCUUUGCAUAAUCUGUCCGGGGGGGAGAUUGAGUGGAAAGACAAAUACGGGCCAACAACUAUAUUGGGUUGCCGUCAUACCAAACACACUGAACCCAUCCGUGCUGAUGCCGACUCGAGGAUGCCUCGGAUCUGCCGCUUUGUCAGCAUGUAAUUCAUCAAACUUUUUCCACGCAACACCAUCCGAUGUGUGUACCAUCAUCAGAUUCCCAUCUGCAUCUAGUUCGGUUCUUUUGCCUGUUUUGUGCCAUGUCAUCUGUCUGGCCGUCUCUUCGACCAUGAAAAGACGUUGAAGUCUUGGUACGAUUGGCAUAUACCGAAGAACACUAACGGGGAUUUUGGUCUGUGUCUUCUCACCCAUACCGUUGUCUACCACAAUAUACCUGGAAGACUUGCAAAUGGGACAAUAGUUCAAGUCUGCAUAGUCAAGCCUAAAUAAGGCACAUCCUUUCUCACAGGCAUGUAUCUUCUCAUAGGGCAUCUUCAGUGCACGGAGGAUUUUGUCCGACUGGUACAGGUUUGCAGGCAUUACAUGGCCUUUGGGUAGAAAGCGUCCAAAUACUGUCAUAAUUGCGUCAUAGCAUUCUCUGCCCAAGUUGAACUGAGCCUUCAGAGCCAUUACUUGUGAGAUGGCAUCCAACUGACAAAGCUCAGUGUGCUCGUGGAGCGGACGUUUCGAAGACUCCAACAUUUCAUUGAAGGCCUUUGCAGAUUCCUCCAUCUCCUCGUCCGAAUCCCGAGCAUCAUCAUAGCCUUGCACCAUGUUUUCCAUCCCGGUACCAUGCUCGUCGGUGCGACGACGAUCCACCUCAGCUCGGUCACGUUGGGCAGACUCACCAUGAAAUGUCCACACCGUAUAAUCGGGCGUAAAACCACUCUUCUGCAGGUGUUUGCCCAUUUCAGCCUCUGUCUUCUUUUCCCAAUUGCCGCACCGGAAACAGGGGCACCAGGUUUUAUUUUGGCCAUUUGCAAAUGCGGCUUGCACAAACCCCUUAGUUUUUGUGAACCAUUCAGCGCUCCAUUUGUUCUGACCAGUGUGACCGGUAUACAUCCAAGCACGGUCACUCAUCUUGACUUUCAGAGCUACUGGACACACAACAAUUAUAUAUGUAAUUCACCAUGUAUAUCUUCAUCAGUUGAUCUACUUUGUCAAUUUUAUUACGUCCAUGCAACCUACACUCUAAUAGGUAAUGAUAGGUCCUAAUCCCACCCGUGUAUGUGUAGAUUGGGUUCAUUUUCCCAUGCUAUGCUCCGGAUCCGACGCAAAAUUUCGGCAGCACCUCCCCGCUGUUCUCCUGAUACACGUCUCUGCAAUAAACAGAGAGGAUGUGUACCCGGAGAACAACAGGGGAGGCACUGACGAAAUAUAUGCGUCGGAUCCGGAGCAAAGCAUAUGGGAAAACGAACCCAAUCUACACAUACUCGGGCUGUCCAUGGAUAGCGUUGGACAAUUCGAAAGAAUCAAGGUUAUAAAUAUGCAAAUGCAUGCAUAUUUAUAACUAUGACGCUUACGAACGGGAGACACAUAUUGGUUACGCAUACUGAUGAUUCAAGACACAUAUAUAGCUAGCUAUCAAGUUUCAUCGGAAUAGAUCAAAUAAUUAAUGGGGGAGGAGGACUUGUCAUUUGUGCUCACCCACGAACGAAGGGGCAGAGCUCGUCAAACGCACGGCGAGGUCGUCAAACACCAAACCUCGCAGCCAUGAAACAACUGCACAUUUAAAACUACACGAUCAACACAAUUAUAUAUGAUGUUUUUCAUAACAAAAUCGAAAAAUAUAUGACCUAACUAAUAAUUCACAAAUAUAUGACCCCGUCGGCCUCUGGAAGCCAAAGAACACCUUUUUGGAAGGUUUCGGGGGUCGGGGUGUCCUGUCGGUGUCUCGGGGUCUCGGGGGUCGGUUUCUCGGGGUCUCGGGGUCGGGGUGUCGGGUCGGGGUGCCGGGUCGGGGUCGGGGUGCCGUGUCGGUGUCGGGGNNNNNNNNNNNNNNNNNNNNNNNNNNNNNNNNNNNNNNNNNNNNNNNNNNNNNNNNNNNNNNNNNNNNNNNNNNNNNNNNNNNNNNNNNNNNNNNNNNNNNNNNNNNNNNNNNNNNNNNNNNNNNNNNNNNNNNNNNNNNNNNNNNNNNNNNNNNNNNNNNNNNNNNNNNNNNNNNNNNNNNNNNNNNNNNNNNNNNNNNNNNNNNNNNNNNNNNNNNNNNNNNNNNNNNNNNNNNNNNNNNNNNNNNNNNNNNNNNNNNNNNNNNNNNNNNNNNNNNNNNNNNNNNNNNNNNNNNNNNNNNNNNNNNNNNNNNNNNNNNNNNNNNNNNNNNNNNNNNNNNNNNNNNNNNNNNNNNNNNNNNNNNNNNNNNNNNNNNNNNNNNNNNNNNNNNNNNNNNNNNNNNNNNNNNNNNNNNNNNNNNNNNNNNNNNNNNNNNNNNNNNNNNNNNNNNNNNNNNNNNNNNNNNNNNNNNNNNNNNNNNNNNNNNNNNNNNNNNNNNNNNNNNNNNNNNNNNNNNNNNNNNNNNNNNNNNNNNNNNNNNNNNNNNNNNNNNNNNNNNNNNNNNNNNNNNNNNNNNNNNNNNNNNNNNNNNNNNNNNNNNNNNNNNNNNNNNNNNNNNNNNNNNNNNNNNNNNNNNNNNNNNNNNNNNNNNNNNNNNNNNNNNNNNNNNNNNNNNNNNNNNNNNNNNNNNNNNNNNNNNNNNNNNNNNNNNNNNNNNNNNNNNNNNNNNNNNNNNNNNNNNNNNNNNNNNNNNNNNNNNNNNNNNNNNNNNNNNNNNNNNNGGGUGGGGAUCGGCCGUUAGUAACCUAAACGUUUGCCGUCCGCCCCCCUUUGCCGUCCGCUGACUUGCUCUUUGCCGUCCGCUAGCGGACGGCAAAGAGGUGGGCCGUUAAGUUUUUUUUAACCAGCUCGUCAGUGGGGCCCCCCUCCGCCUUUGCCGUCCGCUAGCCGACGGCAACGAAUCUUUGCCGUCCGCUAGCGGACGGCAAAGAACUGGCUGAUGGCAAAGAAGGUCUUUGCCAUCAGCCAGUUCUUUGCCGUCUGCUUUUGGGUAGCUGAUGGCAAAGAGCUUCUUUGCCGUCCGCUAGCAGACGGCAAAGAGCUGGCAGAUGGCAAAGUAGCCGAUUCCAGUAGUGGCGCUUACCGACCGGCUGUCCCUAAACCUGUCCUAUUUCUCAGGAUAGUCUGGAAGCCCAUAUUUGGCGCCAAGUCAUGUGUGCAUCAAUUUGAUGUCCAGUGGAGUUUGAUUGUUAGUUGUUGGAUAUUGUUAAGGUGUUAAGAUCGGUUCAUUGGGAAAAUAAAAUCUCAUGUAUAUGCGUGCCAUUUAAAAAUUGACCCCAUGCACCUAAACAUAUGAAUUGAUAAUUAUGCUAUCAUUGCAGAAAAAUGACUACCUUACCAUGAAAAGGAGACCAAUAUAAGUUCUUUUAGAGUUGAGUUGUGGGACUUAAUUUCUCUUUGAUUUUAGUUGCUGAAGGAACUCAACGUAAGUUCUUCUAGAAUUGAGUUGUUAGAUUUAAGUUCUCUUUGAUUUGAGUUACUUGUUCAGUUGCUACCUUCCAAACAUGGAACAAUGCUUUCUUUUAUUGUCAAGUCUCUUUGUCCUUUGUUUCUUCCUCCCUUUUACUUCUUUCGAAUGGGACUUCAUGACUUCAUGAGAAUGGCUGCAUUUGCAAGUGCGGUUUAUGCUAAUCCUUUAUCUAUUAUAUACUAAAAGCACAAUAUGAUGUCCUCUUCGAGGCACCGCGUCAAUUCACAUCAACUAAAUUCGGAUUUAGCGUGAGAACCGAAAUCAUAAGGUGAACAUUGAUUUUGGUGGAGCUUUGUUAAACUAAAAAAUAUAAAAUUGUAAGAACUACAUAAUUACAUAAUACAAUCAAUGUGUGGUUUAAUCUUUGAUAUUGACCGAUACCUAGGCUGUUAGAUUGUAACUUAAUUUCAUCUGCUAUAGAAAUAUCUCAAGCUAAAGGGUUGGUUGAUGUAAAAAAAUGCAUUCUACUUGCUUGUGAGCUACAAUGCAAUUGUGUAGACAACUAGACAUAAUUUGUGUCGGAUUGGCAUAAAUAAGUUGUUUUCACUACCUUGUUAAGACUAUAUUUUCCUGCAUGGAUCCAGCUCCACAUUAGAUCUUCUGUAUACCUUCGAGGCGAACCAUUAGUCGACAUUAAGAAAAAUAUUUUAUAGUCGAUUCCAUAAUUUAGUGGCUAUCAUCAAUUAAAGUACAGAAACAAAAUGAUACAUAAAAUUCAUAAUUAUUUACCAAAGCCUUGCUCUCAAGUCUUCACGUCUUAUUUUCAAGAUUAUACUAAUUCCUGGAAGUAGUCAAAAUCAUUAACAACUGCGAUAUAUAUUGGCAACAUUGGCAUCAGAUACAAAUUACUGGCAAUGUCGUGAGUUAAUGUCAUGUACAAAUGAUACAUAUGCUGAUUAAUUUGGUGUUUUGGGAACGCCAUGACUAUUCACCGCCAGACUAAACAUGAUUAAAUAUGUUUAUCAUCUGCAUGAUAUUUUAAUUCACAUAAAUAUUUAUGGUGGCCUAUAGAAGAAUAUUAUGUUUAAUCAUUUGAUAUAAAUGUGUGAGUCAAAAAUUUAUUCUAUUACACUUUCGACACAUUAUAGACUACAACCUCGCAUUUAUAGGGGCCAAAAAUAGAUGUUGUUCUACAAAGUAUUCACUGAAAUUAUCUAACUUGGCCAAAUAUAAAAAAGAUUAUUAAGCCUAGCCAAAGGAAAAUAAUAUAAUCAAUCUGUGUGAAAAAAUAUUCUACAAUUUAUUUUAUUGUUGUUAAGCAACAGAGUGGUAUGCACAAUAGUAAUGGUCGAAGUUAUGUCAUAAAGACUAUAUCCAUGCAUAGCGGUAUGUAAAAUGGAUUUUUUUUAGCUUUUUAUGCACUCUACAAACCAUUUUUAUGGGAAUGCGGGACAAGAAGCAAUACUGUUUUUCAAGGAAUAAGAACCCAUUUUCACCUCCAUGGGAACUUGAACCAGGGAGGUUGGAUUGUACAGCCACUUCCUAACCAAAUGAGCUAGGCCACUUCUUCAAUUGACUAUACAUGAGAAAAAAUAUUCAUUAUGUCAUAUGACAUGUUAACCACUAUGUCCUCCAUCUAAAAUUAUGUCUUUUGAUAUAUUUUCAUAACUUCACACCAUGUUUACUACUCCCUCCGAUCCAUAUUGAUUGUCGUUACCUUAGUACAAUGUUGUACUAAGUCAGGGACAAUUAACAUGGAUCGGAGGGAGUAUAUGCUAAGAUUUAUGAAGCAUGCAAUGGAUCGGAGGGAUGCUUUUGAGUGUGCACUGGAUCUGUCACGCUUAAGAUCGCUAACAGUAUUUGGAGCAUGGGAAUCAUUUUUCAUUUCUGAUAAGAUGAGAUUCCUCCGAGUGCUGGAUCUUGAAGACACAGAGGGUAUAACAGAUCAUGAUCUCCAUCAAAUUUGUCAGCUUUUUCUUCUGAGCUACCUCUCUCUACGAAGAUGUGAUUGUAUUUUACGGUUACCAAAUUCAUUGGGUAACCUUAAGUUCCUGCAGACGCUAGAUAUCAGAGAUACAGAAAUAAUCAGCCUGCCAAGAACAAUCGUCAAGCUUCGGAAGUUACAGUACCUGCGUGUGGGUUUCGUGCCAGAUAUUGAGGAUGGGAGAAAAACAAAUUGGAUUUGUGCAAUAUGGGAACAUGGUUCCUUUUGCUUCCACUUCUGCCUCCAGGUCUUUCAAAGAUUGUUUUUCGGCCAUACAUGCUGCUACUACGUGAACAGGCAGUUGAUCCGAGUUUUAAACGCUUGUGUCUAUUUUGUACUGUGGGGCCUCGUAUGGCUGCUGCUUAUCAUGGGAUUCGGCCAACUGCUUCUUGUAGCGAGCUGCUCAUGGGUACUUAUGAAAGAUGGAUUUGAUGGGCUGCCUAUCUUCUUUUUUAGGCUAACACCUCAUGGUGUCAAGUUUCCAAGAGGAAUACGGCAACUGAAGGCCCUCCACACAUUGGGUGUUGUGAAUAUUGAUGGGGCAGACACCAUUCUUGAAGACCUGCAGUAUCUUACGGAGCUGCGGAAAUUAAGAGUCACAGGUCUCAAGAAGAGCAAUUGCGCGAAAUUCUUCUCAGCUAUUACCGAAAUGGAAUGUUUAGAAUCCUUGUUUGUACGGCCAGAGGGGAAUCCAGGUUUAGUCGGCUGCUUUGAUGAAGUAUCUUCUGCUCCCGAAAAUCUUCGGAGCCUCAAGCUAUACGGCAACCUGAAUAAAUUGCCAAAAUGGAUCGAGGGGCAUCAAAACCUUGGAAAGUUGGAGCUACGGAGCACCAUGAUAUGGGAGCACGAUGAGGCCAUACAAUUCCUUGGGAAGCUACCGAACCUGACCAACUUACACCUAUUGCAGGACUCAUUCAGCAGUAUUCGGGUCUCCUUCAGUUUUUCCUCUGGUGCAUUCCCGAGUCUGCAGGUGUUGGAACUGAGUCUAUGGUCUCAACAACAAUGGAAGGACGACAUAGGGAAGCUACGAGGGGUGAAGUUUCAAGAUGGAGCAGCCCCUAAGCUUGAGGUGCUGCUGUUUUCUGCCCCGCCUUAUGAGAGAAACUAUGGUUUGUUUACUGGGUUAAAAUAUCUCACAAGCCUACAAGAAUUCAUGCUGCACAACAAACGCCAUGAGGAGGACGCCUUCGUCGAGGGCUUGCGGAGAACCCAAGUGGACCCAUUUUGAAGAGGUACGACUACGACUACCACAAGACUGGUUGGUGGUGAAGGGCGGCCGAAGUGGACACCCAAAAAAUUGGGCCCCAAAAUCAGUAGGUAAAAUGGAGAAGGCAUUCCAUUUAAAUUCUCCGAUUCUGCAUGUUGGAAAAAUCUUCUAGAAUUGGAGAUGUUUUCUUCGUUGGUAGAAAGCUCCAUCUGAAAGAUGGCAGUCAUGUAAGAUUAUGGAACCUUUUUUUGUGCACUCAUUUCCCUUAUCUCUUUGAUAUCUGUGUUACCUGAUAAUACUAUCCAAAAAUUUCUUGAGUUCAAGUCAAAAGAAAAAUCCUUGAGUUACAUGGCAAUAUCCUUCCCUAGCCUUUCCCAUUGCUACUCCAUCAACGGCAUCAUCCUUCUUUUCCAGGUUAGUUCCACAUUGAAAGUACCAAAAAAAUUGUGACAAUAAAUUGAAAAUACCAACUUUAUAGUACUCCAGCCCCGGCUUUUUCAAAAAUAAAACAAAAUAACAAAAUAUAGGACAGAGCAGGCAUGAUGUGCCCAUGCACAACCCUGUAUAAAAAACAAAAUUAAUUACCAAAGAAAAGGGCUAAGAAACAAAAGUAGAGGGUGCUGACCAUCAUCAACCCCAUGUGUUCCUUCCCGAAGAAACCGGUGGGAAGAACAAAGUAUGGUGGGUGGUGCAGAAGCAAACCGUCACUCGUUGUGAAGCUUGUCAAGAAUUGUGCACCGUCCAAAAGGACGCCUUCGAUUAUUUGUGUCAACGCCCCUCCUCCAACGCCUCAGAUUCCUAAUUAAGAAAGAUACCAAAAAUGCCUAGUGAGCACCCUUCAUCAGUGUAUGAACAGGGUAGCAUUCAUUAAAUGUAACAGAGUUCAAUCAGUUUCUGGUGUACCAGAUUGGACUCGUAGCCUGCCGAUGACACGCUGCUGACAUGUCAGUCGUCAACUGAAACUUGGCUCCUCUCAGAUCAACUCGUGCGCAAUCUCAAGGCUCGCAACGAUGUCUGAUAUAGCUGGCUGGUCCUCCUCGUGAAAUUUCAGGCAGCGUCCUGCAGUCACCCUUCAGCGGCUGCAGCUGGCAUGGCGUUGGCUCUGGUACAAGUCGCCUGUGCAGCAACUUCUUAAUAUCACCGGCCUCGAUGAUGUGGAGCGCGAAGGAUGCCAGAUCUGCAUUCAUCUCCACCUCCCCUUGGAAAAUGCCUUAUUCCCUGUAAGAACCUCGAACAUCAUCACGCCCAAGCUAUACACGUUGCUUGCCUCUUCGACUUGUGUGGAGGUACUGAAGGUCGAUGUACCCAAUUGUGCCUCUAACGGUGACAUCCAACCAUGACACCUCACUCUCCAUGCCCCAGAUGACCGACAAGCCAAAAUCUGAAAUAUGCGGCACCCAACUGACAUCGAAAAGGAUGUUACUUGACUUGAUGUCACGGUAGAUGAUCAGAGGGUUGGCAUGGUGUGGACUACAAUGUACCCUCUCCUUAAACCGGAUAGUUUAGUCUAUUUUACGUGAAAAAAAUUAAAAAGAUAACCCGGUCAAUUUCAUUUCUUAUGAGACUGACAAGACAACCUGACCCAAAAACAGUUCAAGAGGAACUCUACCUCCAGGUUUUCAGCCGCAGCCAACUCUGCUUUAUGGAAUUAUGGUUUCACCAUACAAUACUAUAACUCAGCAAAGAAACAAGGAAAAAUCAGGCCGAACUGCCAACAUCAAUCCAUGCGCAGUGCAUCCUACAGCAGAAUUCUAAACUACAGCAACAUAUAGGUAUUUGGACAUCAUCAUUUUUCUUUCCUGAAGAAACUGCUUGCACGGAGAGGAAGAAAGACCAUCAGCCGUUCUCCAACCUCUGCACCAGUGGCCCCAGCCACGACUUCGAUGCAACAUUUCACUCACAUCUAUUUCCAAAUAAAUUAAACAUAGGUUUGGCUAUUUCGGAUUGGAUCAGCAUCACAGUGUACAAAUGGAUCCAGGCCCCAAAAUUCCGGGGAAAAUAAUUCCGACCACCGAACUAGAGAGAUAAUCAAAUACUCAAUCAACAAAUCCAGGUCCUCUGUUCCUAAAUAUAAGUCUGUAUGUAAUCCGUGUUGAAAUCUCUAAAAUGACUUAUAUUUAGGAACGGAGGGAGUAGUUCAAAAUCAAAAGUACCAACUUUAUACCAGAUCUAGUCUUAUUUUUAUCUAAAAUCCUAACUUUCCAAAAUAAAAGAGAGAUAACAAAGCUACCACUUUCAGGAAUGAAUGGCUUUGAAAGAGAAGCUACACGAAUAAAGUAGGGUACUGUACCCAUGCACAGCCCCAGGGUAAAAAAGAGAAACAAGAUAUAUUACAAGAAGAAAGUGCUGAAAAAACAGAGUCAGUGCUUACCAUCAACCCCAUGUUCCUUUCCUAAGAAGCCACUAGGAAAAUCUAAGUAGGGUUGGUUGUGAAGAAGCAAACUAUAGUGGGAUCCAUCCCGUCAUAAACCACCCGCGCUAACAAGCGCCCGUAGAUUUACCAAAAGUGGGCAUUACCUAUGUGCAGUAACGGGAUGCUCAUCGGGUGAUUGAAGCACAUGACGGUCACAAGUGACCCGAUGUAGGGUGUAAUGCACUGUUCCAAAGGACGCCUUCAAAGAUCGGUGUCAACGCCCCUCCUCCAACACCUCAGGUGGUGUAUGAACAUGAUUCAAUGCAUUAACGUGAAUAGAAAUCAGUUUGUGGUGUACCGGAUCGGACCGGGAGCCUGCUGAUGACAUGUGGUGAGUAACUCAUCAACUGAAGCUAGCUCGUCUCUGGUGAUUAUCAAUUUGUAUGCCAUCUCAGUUAAGCUUCAUGCACUAGUCAAUGCAACCAAAAGUCCAAACUGAUGGAAAGGGUUAGUGCAAUCCACAUAUACUGCAACACCCCCUUUCACGUGUGACGGGGAAGACAAGUCAACACAUCUAACCGGAAGAGAGCGACGGCACGCGAAACUCACGUAUGACUCAAGAGGCCUCUACGUGGACAUAAAGGAGGGCUACCAUCAAGUUUUAAUAAAAUGCGAAGCCAGGACAUGAACUCAAGACAUUAGCUCUGAUACCAUGUUAAGCUUCAUGCACUAGCUAACGCAACCAAAAGUCCGAACUGAUGGAAAGGGCUAGUGCAAUCCACAUAUACGGUAACAAUCUUGAGGUUGGCAACCAUGUCUAAUAUAGCCGGCUGGUCCAUCAUGUCCAACUUUAAUAAAAAAUAUCGACAUUCGAAAAUAAAAUGAGAAUAUAUAGGACAGGGUCUACACUACGAAUGGCUUUAUUUAUUUAUUUUUGCAGGGAUACACUAUGAAUGUCUUUGAAAGAGAAUCUAAUUCCUCUCUCUCAGUUUACAAGGCGUGCGCGUACCUCUAAGUCGUUAAUUUGACCAACCUAAUAGAAGUCAUAUAUUACAAAAAACAUACCAUUAUAAACUUCAGAUGUUCUAGUUUCAAACGGUAUAAUUUUUGUGUUAUAUAGUUUAUAUUACGGUAAUAAAAUUGGCAACCUAGGUAUACGCACAGGACUUGUAAACUGAAACGGAGGGAGUACACAAAGUGGGACUACUGUGACCAUGUGCAACUCAAGGCUAAAAAAGCAAAGUGGGGUGGUGACCAUCAAGCGGGUGUGUUCCUUUCCUAAUAAACUGCUGGGGAAAACAUAGUAGGGUUGGUGGUGAGGUAGCAAACUGAAACUACACUGGGGGGCCAUCCUAGGCUCUUCCUAAACUGCCAGCAACAACAAGCGUUAUAAUGCACCUUCAUCAGUGUAUUAAGAGAACCACCUUCCGAGGACGCCUUCAACGAUUGUUGUCAACGCCCCUCCUCCAAGUCCAACACCUCAGAUUCCUAAUUAAGAGAUCACAAAGUGAGUAGUGAGCCCCCAUCAUCAGUGUAUGAACAUGGUUGAAUUUAUGUGAACAGAGUUCAACUAUUAGUUUGUAGUGUACCAGCUCGGAAUGGUAGCCUGCCGAUGACAAGCUCCUGGAGUGUGGUGAGUCCAAUGGGAGGUCAAUUUGUUCGACGAAGGGCCACAAACAUGGCUCGUCAACUGAACCGUGCUCGUCUCUGCAGAUUAACUCAUACGCCAUCUCGAGGUUGGCAACAAUGUCUGAUAUGGCCGGCCGGUCCUUCGCAUCCAACUUCCCGCAGCACCAUGCAAUCUGCGCCACACGUUUCAUCGCCUGCAGCUGCCAAGGCGUUGGCUCCGGUACAGGUCGCCUGUCCAACAACUCCUCAAUAUUACCGACUUCAAUGAUGGGGAGUGCGAAGUCUGUCAAAGGUCCACCUGUCCCAUCAUCCUUCAAUUGAGAAUAUGCACUUUUCCCUGUCAGAACCUCGAGCAUCACCACGCCCAGGCUGUACACGUCGCUCGCCGGCUUCAGA
rnacentral:lncRNA from 1 species